UUUAAAAUCAAAAUGGAUUUAAAAAUCAAGUUUUGAUUUUUAAUAAAAUUGAAAAAUUAGAAAAACAAUACACAAAUGGAAAAAUAGAGUUUUCCAUUAUCCAUAUUCUUUAUGCUCACACACUUUCCCUUUGCACUUCUUCAUUUACUCUAAGCAUGAGCUGCAACUCAUGCAACACUCUUCCUUGCAUGAUGAUCUGCAAUAUAUUGAAGAGUUUGGAGUGAAUUUUGGGCAUGCAAUCAAGAGAGAAUUUUAGAGAAAAUUCGUGCUGAAGAAAGUGUUCUUCAAUAAGAUUGCUGAUGUGAGCAAUUUUCCUUCAUCCCUUUAUUCAAGCUUGUUUUGAGUCCCAUAACACAAUAUAGAGCACCAAGAGAAUAGUGUGGAAGAUCUUGAGGUGGUCUGCAACAAGAUUUAGAGAAGAUUGCAGUUGGAGAUUGAGCUUUGAAGAGGUUCUACAAAGGUAACAGGUAUCACCGCAUGUGAUGAUUGCUCGUGGACAAAAAGAGCAACGCAUUCUCGGGGAUUUCUGAAAUUGUACAACUUUUCUGAUGUACGACCUGACAAAUUGAAUGUGGAGCAGAGCAGACAUUCCCACCAAGCCGCAACAGAAAAAAGUAACUUUUUAGAGUGGGACCACUGAUGCAAGAGGUGCUAAGGUCUAUAAAUAGCAACAUAAACACUCAGCACAAAGGGGGGAAAGAAAACACAUGGAAAAAGAGACGAAAAGAAGUUUUGUGCAAGGGACAUUCUUCCCUCGAGAACUCUCCUGAGAAGGAAGUUCUCCACCUCAUUCCUCCAUCAUGCCGACAAGUAAAUAGCUCCGAUCGGGAUCUGUGGCAAGACAUUGACAUGCUGAUCUCAACUGUUCUUACUUUCCGUUCAUCGAUUGUUGUUCAUUUCCUGUCUUUCAUUCAUAUCUCUAUAACAAACACUUUAUCUUUA